rnacentral:lncRNA from 1 species
UCCGUCUUUCCGUUCGUCCGUUGGACCGGUACAAUAUGUUUCGCCGGUUUUGUAAGCGCAUCUCCUCAUAAACCACUUAAUAUACAUUGGGGUUUCCGGCCAUUUUUAAAUGGAGAGGGGUCCAAUCCAGGAGAAAAGGGGAUUCCAAAUAUAUGUUCCCAUACAAAUGCAUUGAUAGUUAAAAAAAGGGUUUCAAACUGCCGGAUCCCCUUUUUUUUAAUCCGUCACUGAUAUAACUAUUAAUUAAUCUUAUUCGGAUUCCUUAUCAUAAAUGAUAAUGACUGUAUUGUGCACGUCUAUUUCGAAUUUUAGUAAAAAAUCUUUUAUGGGGUUACUUUAUAUAAGAUACGGACUUGAACAUUGCAUUAUAUGGGGCACCCAUCAGGUAUUUCCAACACCUCCUAAACCAAUCAUUAAAGUUUUCUGAAAUUGCUCCAUUUUUACUCGAUUAAUGCAUUAUGGACCUUCUAUUUCUGUAAACUUACCAAAAUUAUAUCACAUGAAUUAUCCCCCUACGCAAAGCUGUCUUUAUCCAUUUUUUUGUUAUUUUAAAAGCGACAAGCUUGAUUUAUGUUAUCAUCAAUUGGUCAACGGCGGACG